UACGUAGGGUGCAAGCGUUGUCCGGAAUUAUUGGGCGUAAAGAGCUCGUAGGCGGUUUGUUGCGUCGGCUGUGAAAUCCCGAGGCUCAACCUCGGGUCUGCAGUCGAUACGAGCAAACUAGAGUGUUGCAGGGGAGACUGGAAUUCCUGGUGUAGCGGUGAAAUGCGCAGAUAUCAGGAGGAACACCGGUGGCGAAGGCGGUUCUCUGGGAAUGUCCUGACGCUGAGGAGCGAAAGUGUGGGGAGCGAACAGG
rnacentral:rRNA from 1 species